CAGGCCGUGCCGGGUGAGGAUGCGGUGCACGGUCGAGGCGAGCGGGCCAAGGAUCGGGCCCAGGCGUGCAGGUCCCGAUCCUGCGGGUCUGC
rnacentral:tRNA from 1 species